rnacentral:misc_RNA from 1 species
GUACCUGAAGAAAAAGCAUCGGCCAACUCCGUGCCAGCAGCCGCGGUAAUACGGAGGAUGCAAGCGUUAUCCGGAAUCAUUGGGCGUAAAGGGUCCGCAGGUGGCGAAUAAAGUCUGCUGUUAAAGACCGGGGCUUAACUCCGGAAAGGCAGUGGAAACUGAUUAGCUAGAGUACGGUAGGGGUAGAGGGAAUUCCCAGUGUAGCGGUGAAAUGCGUAGAUAUUGGGAAGAACACCGGUGGCGAAAGCGCUCUACUAGGCCGAAACCGACACUGAGGGACGAAAGCUAGGGUAGCGAAAGGGAUUAGAUACCCCUGUAGUCUUAGCGGUAAACGAUGGAUACUAGGUGUAGCUUGUAUCGACCCGAGCUGUGCCGAAGCUAACGCGAUAAGUAUCCCGCCUGGGGAGUACGCACGCAAGUGUGAAACUCAAAGGAAUUGACGGGGGCCCGCACAAGCGGUGGAGUAUGUGGUUUAAUUCGAUGCAACGCGAAGAACCUUACCAGGGCUUGACAUGUCGCGAAUCUAGCGGAAACGUUAGAGUGCCUUAGGGGAUGCGAACACAGGUGGUGCAUGGCUGUCGUCAGCUCGUGUCGUGAGAUGUUGGGUUAAGUCCCGCAACGAGCGCAACCCUCGUCCUUAGUUGCCAAUAUUAAGUUAGGCACUCUAGGGAGACUGCCGGGGACAACUCGGAGGAAGGUGGGGAUGACGUCAAGUCAGCAUGCCCCUUACGUCCUGGGCGACACACGUACUACAAUGGUUGGGACAAAGGGCAGCAAGCUCGCGAGAGUAAGCGAAUCUCAUCAAACCCAGCCACAGUUCAGAUUGCAGGCUGCAACUCGCCUGCAUGAAGUAGGAAUCGCUAGUAAUCGCAGGUCAGCAUACAGCGGUGAAUUCGUUCCCGGGCCUUGUACACACCGCCCGUCACACUAUGGAAGCUGGCUACGCCCGAAGUCGUUACCCUAACCCGGUUUUGGGAGGGGGAUGCCGAAGGUAGAGCUAGUGACUGGGGUGAAGUCGUAACAAGGUAGCCGUACCGGGAGGUGUGGCUGGAUCACCUCCUUUACAGGGGGACCUAGUCUAAUUACCAAUAGAUGAAAAAGUUGGUAAUUCGCAAGAAUCCUUAGGUCGUGAAGGGAGCAAGAAAAAACUUUCAAACUGUAAUGGGUGAGGGUCAAUGGGCUAUUAGCUCUGGUGGUUAGAGCGCACCCCUGAUAAGGGUGAGGUCCCUGGUUCAAGUCCAGGAUGGCCCACCUGAAAUACACAGACAUCCUGCCUGUGCCACAAAAAAGGAAAAGAUUUUAGCAUUGUCUCUUGUAAUCAAGAGCAAGAGAUAAUGCUGGAAUAGAUUCCAGCAAGAACC